GACGAACGCUGGCGGCGUGCUUAACACAUGCAAGUCGAACGGAAAGGCCCGGCUUUUGUGGGGUGCUCGAGUGGCGAAGGGGUGAGUAACACGUGAGUAACCUGCCCUUGACUUUGGGAUAACUUCAGGAAACUGGGGCUAAUACCGGAUAGGAGCUCUUGCUGCAUGGUGGGGGUUGGAAAGUUUCGGCGGUUGGGGAUGGACUCGCGGCUGAUCAGCUUGUUGGUGGGGUAGUGGCUGACCAAGGCUUUGACGGGUAGCCGGCCUGAGAGGGUGAGCGGCGACAUUGGGACGGAGAUAGGGCCCAGACUCGUACGGGACGCAGCAGGGGGGAAGAUUACACAAUGGGCGGGAGGCAGAUGCGGCAACGCCGCGUGCGGGAUGCCGGCCUUCGGGUUGUAAACCGCUUUCGCCUUUGACGAAGCGUGAGUGACGGUAAUGGGUAGAGAAGCACCGGCUAACUACGUG
rnacentral:rRNA from 1 species